rnacentral:rRNA from 1 species
AACGAACGCUGGCGGCAUGCCUAACACAUGCAAGUCGAACGAGACCUUCGGGUCUAGUGGCGCACGGGUGCGUAACGCGUGGGAACCUGCCCUUAGGUUCGGAAUAACUCCCCGAAAGGGGUGCUAAUACCGGAUAAUGUCUUCGGACCAAAGAUUUAUCGCCUUUGGAUGGGCCCGCGUUGGAUUAGCUAGUUGGUAGGGUAAAAGCCUACCAAGGCGACGAUCCAUAGCUGGUCUGAGAGGAUGAUCCGCCACACUGGGACUGAGACCCGGCCCAGACUCCUACGGGAGGCAGCAGUGGGGAAUAUUGGACAAUGGGCGAAAGCCUGAUCCAGCAAUGCCGCGUGAGUGAUGAAGGCCUUAGGGUUGUAAAGCUCUUUUACCCGGGAUGAUAAUGACAGUACCGGGAGAAUAAGCUCCGGCUAACUCCGUG